GUAGAGGGGUCAACAACAUUAGAAGUAGAGACUCAGGAGGUAGAGGGGUCAACAACAUUAGAAGUAGAGACUCAGGAGGUAGAGGGGUCAACAACAUUAGAAGUAGAGACUCAGGAGGUAGAGGGGUCAACAACAUUAGAAGUAGACAGACUCAGGAGGUAGAGGGGUCAACACCAUUAGAAGUAGAGACUCAGGAGGUAGAGGGGUCAACACCA